rnacentral:snRNA from 1 species
AAUUACAACAUGUACUUUCAGAU